UGGAAAGUUCCUUCUUGAGAGUGUCUGGA
rnacentral:piRNA from 1 species